rnacentral:rRNA from 1 species
UUCGGGUACGUACUCGUGGUCUUCUAUUUUAUAUGAUUUGUGAGUUGGGCGCUUGCGUUUCCUUCUCAUGGAUCAUAUAAGAUUACUUUGAACGGCUCAAGUGCUUAAAGCAUGUUUUAUGACUGAAUACCGGUGCAUGGAAUAAUGGAACAAGGCUUCGGCCGGGUUUUGAUUGGUUUUGACGGCUGAAACAAUGGUUAACAGGAACAGUCGGGGGCAUUCGUAUCGCUACGCGAGAGGUGAAAUUCGUGGACCGUAGCGAGACGUACAAAAGCGAAGGCACUUGCCAAGAGUGUUUUCAUUAAUCAAGAACGAAAGUCAGAGGUUCGAAGGCGAUUAGAUACCGCUCUAGUUCUGACCGUAAACGAUGCCAACUGUCGAUCCGCUUGUGGAUUUCAUUCAUGAGCGGGGAGAUUCCCGGAAACGAAAGUUUUUCGGUUCCGGGGGAAGUAUGGUUGCAAAACUGAAACUUAAAGGAAUUGACGGAAGGGCACCACCCGGAGUGGAGCUUGCGGCUUAAUUUGACUCAACACGGGAAAACUCACCCGGCCAGUACAUUGUAAGGAUUGACAGAUUGAUAGCUCUUUCAUGAUUCAGUGAAUGGUGGGUGCAUGGCCCGUUCUUAGUUCGUGGAUUGAUUUGUCUGGUUUAUUCCGAUAACGAGCGAGACUUUGACUAUUAAAUAGUGCAGUUGUUUGUUUUUGCAUGCAAUUGAACACUUCUUAAAGGAAUUUGGGG